AAAGUUANCAAGCCUUUGUUAAUAAUUUUUCACCAGAAGCAUACAUUGUAUUCUGCAGUGGCUUGGGAAAGAUUAAAGGGAAGAAAUACUAGAAACCUUAAAAAUGGAAAUAUAUCCAUAAAGAGAAAUCAUUAUCUUGAAUCCUUGAUAAAAAAAAAAAAAUUUUUAAAAAAAUAAAUUGCUACGAAUUAAUCUAAAAAACCUUAAAAUAAUGUUUCAGGUAGAGAAAUGCAUAUCUCAGAAACCAGACCCCAUAGAAUAUGAAUGAAGAAGACGGAAGAUGAAUGAACAUGACACCAAAAAGAAUGUAUUGGGUUUCAGAUGAAGAGAAGAGGUUCAUGUAGGAUCCCUUUCUAACAUGUAUUAAAUGUCCAUCCAAGCAUGGUAGCAGUGGGAACUUUUCUAGUAGUUCACCUUCUUCCUCUUUUUUUAGUUAUACCUUACAUAAUGAAUUUAAUCUCGUUCGUAGGAUAGGAUCCUAUCCCAAAUUUUCUUUUGCCAGGCCCAUAAAAAAUCCAGAUAUUGAGGAAUUGUCCAUACAUAAAUCAUAAUUAGGGUGUGUUUGAUAGGAAGGAAAUUCCAUAGAAAAUGGAAUUCGAAUUUCAACUUUCCAUUUUUUGGGUGUUUGAUUGGCAAAAAUUCCCUUGGAAUUCAUUUUCCACAUUUUCAUGCCACGUAGACAUUUUCCAUGUUUUGGAGGAAAAUGAAUUCUCAUCAAAAUGGUGAGAAUUCAUUUUUCGGUUUACUGUAGCAUUUUUUUUUCGCGUUUAUUUAUUUUGUUGAAAAUUGAAACAAAUUUUAAGAAUUAUUGUAAAAAAAUAUUUUCCUUUAAUUGGCAAUUUUCAUGUAAAAGAAAGCCAAAAGAACAUCAUAAGAUAAAUGAUUUUCUUGAUUUUUUAUUUUUUUAUAAUGGAAACAAAUUUUAUCCCCAAUACUAGUAAAAUCUAUUUCUUUAAUUGAAAAAUUUUCAUGUAAAACAAAGUCAAAUGAACACAAAAAAACACUUUUAUUUCAGCAUUUUUCACAUGAAAAAUUAUACCAAUCAAACACAAUAAUUUAUGAUUCCCAAGAAAACAAUUUCUAGGCAAUUCAAUUCACUGGAAUUCGUUUUCUUUCCAACCCAAAUUCCAUAUUUGCAAUCAAACGGACCCUUAUAGAUACGGGCUUUCAUACAAUGCAAGAAAAAGUUCCUAGAUUCAUGGAGAUAUAGAAUAGCAUACAAGUUAUCAUGAAGAACCCAACGGGCCUUUUCCCCUCGAAUUAGUAGUCUCUCAAAAUUCAAUUCAAAUUAGCCGUAUUUUCCUUUCUUCUUCCAACCUUUCGAUCUUCCCAUCCAUUUCAUGUGGGUCCUUCUUCCCCGCUAACAGCUCUUCUGCUUAGAAACGAAAUGUUCCUAAAAAUUCUUGCUCCCAUUAGAACUCUAAUUCUUUAAAACCCAACAAACAUUUUUCCCUCAAAUCAGAAAAACAAAGAAGGGAUCGCUUGGUGAUAAAGGAGGUAGGGGAGAUCUUCGAUGGAUCUCUCUUGUUCCCGUUUUGUUCCCUUCAUUUCGGUUGCGCUCGUUGUAGGAAUUAACCUAACACCAUACGGCACGUGUUGACGAUAGCUAUGCACCUAUACUUGUUGAAGGUGAAGUUGUUUUUUAUUUAAUUACAUGUGGUAAACAUAUAUCUUAUUCCAAUUUUGUGGAGCUAAAGUGAGACUAGAUUGGAUCUACACGUCCCUCCUAAUAAUAUCCAUAAAUGACUUGUUUUUGGUAUGAUGCUCACCCAUUGUGGCACACAACCAGGCUAUCUAAAGCUAUUGACAAAUGAAUGUCAGAUUCAAGAAAAUAAGUGCAUGAUAAAUUGCACGUGUUUGUCACGUAGCUGUAGGGGGUAAAAUUAAGCAAGCGUUAAUCAUCUACAGACAAACACUUCAAACAAUCAUUAGCGUCAGUAUCUUAUUUCUAUUUUCACUACUACUAAAAGACAAUAAGAAGUGCUUUGUUAUGCUAUAAUCAUUAAACCAAACAAAAAAUGUCUCUAUGAUGAGAAAUUUUGCAGGAACGGAGAGAAAACAUAAUUUGCACCACUUGGCAUUUAAUAAAACCAAAAAAAUAAAAAAUCCAAAUACAGAAACAUAUUAGAAGUUACAAAUGAUAUGAUAAAUGCAGACCACACCAGCAAUUACAUCCAACUCUACAGAGAGACAUUUGAUGGUACAAUAGUCAACGGCCGGGAGUCUGCCAUUUAAAGCAAGACUAUUGAUAGGGUUCUAUUUCUGUAACACCCCGAAAAUUCGUUAUACUCGUUAAUAUUAGAAAUUAGGACCUUAUAGUGAGAAGUUGAAUAUCUAAGGACCAAAUUGUUUGGUUUAUGUAAUUUAGGGAUCAAAUCGUGGACUAUUCAUAGUCACGGACAUAAUUGAAUUUUUCUAGGAUCACUUUCUUUUUUCAAGCCUUUGAUUGCCACCAUAAUUAUAUUCUUUAUAUUAAUCAUAUGCUUAAUUAGAAAAUCAAUUGGUUUUUGGAAUAAUGAAUUAGAUUAGGUAAUUACUAUGUGUGUGUGUGUGUGUGUGUGUAUAACUAAAAUAGUUUAGGUAAUUACCAUAAUUAUAUGUAUGUAUAUAUGUUAAAUGUGCAAGAUUAUAGUAAGAAUAAUCAUAAAUGCCAUAAACAUGGAGCCAAUAAGAAAAAUUCCAUUUUCACAGAAGGAAAGAUUCCAUUAUUCCAUCCAUGACAAUAUUAAAUUAUUUUCACACAUACACUCACGGCAUUCACCUUUCUCACACAACAAAAGUCAUUUCAUUUGUCCUACACACAAGAAUUCAUAAGUGGGCCCUUAAUAGUCAAAUACUUCACACUCAUUUUAUCAAAUUCCAUUCAAAUUACAAGGUAAGUGAUGUUGUAUGUGGUUUAUGUGACCUUGUACUUUGUACUUUAAAUUUUGAAAUUCGUUUUAUAGGCCAUAUAUGUUUAUGAUAAGAGGGUCAGAGUUUAGUAGUGCUACGCAUAGGCAUUACUACCACCUAUGUUCGGAGUAGUUCAUGUGUCUCCUAUAUGUAUGAUAUGAAAUCCCGUUUUCCUUAGUUUAAAUGCAAAUUACUUGUUCACUGCACACACUUAUUGAGAUUUUCUUAAAUCUCAC
rnacentral:lncRNA from 1 species